UAAUAGUGUAUAUUAAAGUUGUUGCAGUUAAAAAGCUCGUAGUUGAAUGUUGGUGUCGAACGAGCGGUCAGCUUCGGCUGUACUGAUCUCUCGACUCCUUCCUUCUGUGGACUACGUCGCACUUUACUGUGUGGCGCUAGGACGCAGAUCGUUUACUGUGAAAAAAUUAGAGUGUUCAAAGCAGGCCGUACGCUUGAAUACAUUAGCAUGGAAUAAUGGAAUAGGACGUCGGGCCUAUUUUGUUGGUUCUAGGACCGUCGUAAUGAUUAAUAGGGACAGUUGGGGCCGUUUAUAUUCCGUAGUCAGAGGUGAAAUUCUUGGAUUUACGGAAGAUAAACUACUGCGAAAGCAUUCGGCAAGGAUGUUUUCGUUAA
rnacentral:rRNA from 1 species